rnacentral:rRNA from 1 species
AUUGAACGCUGGCGGCAUGCCUUACACAUGCAAGUCGAACGGCAGCACGGGAGCAAUCCUGGUGGCGAGUGGCGAACGGGUGAGUAAAGUAUCGGAACGUGCCCAGUCGUGGGGGAUAACGUAGCAAAAGUUACGCUAAUACCGCAUACGAUCUAUGAAUGAAAGCGGGGGAUCGCAAGACCUCGCGCGAUUGGAGCGGCCGAUAUCAGAUUAGGUAGUUGGUGGGGUAAAGGCUCACCAAGCCGUCGAUCUGUAGCUGGUCUGAGAGGACGACCAGCCACACUGGGACUGAGACACGGCCCAGACUCCUACGGGAGGCAGCAGUGGGGAAUUUUGGACAAUGGGCGCAAGCCUGAUCCAGCCAUGCCGCGUGCAGGAUGAAGGCCUUCGGGUUGUAAACUGCUUUUGUACGGAACGAAAAGGUUUGACUUAAUACGUUGGACUCAUGACGGUACCGUAAGAAUAAGCACCGGCUAACUACGUGCCAGCAGCCGCCGUAA